AAAAGGCCCCCUCGUGGCCGCUAAGCAUCAGACACUUUACUGUGACUCUCUCUCUCCUACGGGAAGAUUACUUGCUUCACCUGGACUCUUAGCCAAUCACAAGUUGACUCAGGAUCGCUGCACGCUGGUAGCAUUCUGUCCGAGACUUUUGCCAGUAGUGCACGCUAACUGCACGGACUUAAAACCCGUUUUGAUACAACUGCUUUAUCCUGUGUGCGUCUUUACAAGUAAGAAUCUGUAUUUUGUUGUUCCUUUACUGUCAUUGCUGAUGCUAGAUUGGUAGUGUUUUGUCUGUUUAGUGUUGCUAAUUUAAGCUCAGGUUUUUUCUGCCUGAUUAGGCUUUGCGUUGUAAUGCUUCUUCCUAUGUAUAAAUGUAUAAGUUUCUACUCGGGCAUUAUUCUUUUGUUACACAUUGUAUAAUACCAGUUACGCACCCUCUGCACAUAGUUUGUAAGCUAUUGCGGCGAUAUUCGCCUUUAAUCCAGUUAAUUGGUUAUAGAGCACGCACUGUCCGCAUGAACACUGGUCGUCAUGUGACACCUCUCAGAGCGGCCUGUUGUAGUUAUUUAUGUGACCGGCAGAGGGAGGCUUUGUAUAGCGAAUGGUUUAUGCUUUCUCAUUGUUAUAGUUAUAGCAGCCUUUUUCAUUCUUCUAAUGUCAGUUUCGGCCAUGUUAAAAUAAUAUUAUUGUAUUUUAUUUCUGCUGUAUUGUUAGAAUAAGAUACAGUCAAUGCCAAUAAUGGUUUGUUUGCAUGAUAAUCAUUCAUUUUCAUUCAACUAAUUGUUUGUUUUCACUUCUUUAUUGUUUCAGAACCACACACACAUCAAUGUACAUUUCAAUCAUGCAGUUGUAAAUCCAAUAAAUACUUCCAGUGAAGAAAUCUUGCGUGAUUCUGACCGAUCACCUGCUGUGAGCUCUACCUAACGAUCCACAAACUAUCAAAAAUCAAAGAAGCCAGUCCUCUUCUAAACAAAGUGGUCCUUCGAGCCGGAACCAGAGCCUGCAGCGGAGCAAGAUGUCUACCACCUCGGAUAACGAGUAUAAUGCACAAUCUAGGAGGCAGCGGUCCCUCCCUAACUACUUGCAAGAUUAUGACUUGUCUGAUCUCCCGACCAGAUCUCAAACCAUGAAGCCUUCUGAGUCACAGCCUAGGGAGCGGCUAGACGAAGAGGACCACAGCAGACCUGAUUCACGAUCUGCACCACCAGAAAGUCAGCUGCACCACAGCCCAGCGCGAUGGUCAGUCACUGAUAAAUGGGAAUCUUCUGCAGAUGAGUGGAGAAGGGAGUGCCGCAUACUAGAGCGUGAAAGGGAAGAUCUCCUAGCAUCAAUUGAGGAAUUAAAAAUACAGAACGAGCAGCUCAGAGCCAGGGCGGAGCCCAGCAAUUCCCGUUCAGAGCCACGUACUGUAGCUGCCAGAGACAGACUUUACAGAGAAGGGCUGGAAUACGGAGGUGCUUCAACCCAGUACAAAUCAGUCUACUUCCGAGACAGAGAGACACCACCACAACGGUCCUCUGACAGGCGUCAUGACUACAGUAGAGAGACAAAGGACUAUAGGGAAACAACCAGGUAUGACUCUCCCUCACCUAAAAGCUCUCCAGAGCCAGUACUCAGCAAGCACCAGGCUUCACGACGAAGCUAUGAGUCCAGAGAAGGGCGCUACAGUUCUCAACAUAAUUAUGAGCAGUGCAGCCACCGCCGCUCACCCGAGCGCUACGCCAGCUACAGAGACUCUUGUUAUUCCUCCAGAGAGUACAGAGAACCAUCAUGCCGAGGUGACUACUCUCCUGCACGCCGCUUCAGCUACUCGCCAGAUCAGCGUGAGAAACGUAGUCCCCCUUCACCUUGGCACGAGCCCAGACGCUCAGUGACUCCCCCUGGUGGACAGGAAAGAACAUACAGAGGGCCUACUCCUACAAUCCCGAACUUCAACCGUCCUAACCCAAGAGACUUUGCGAGACUCCGUAUUGCCUUAGACAAUCUCCUUCCAAGAGAUGCCACUGAACGUUUCAAGUUCCAGAUAUUAGUGGAUCAUCUGAAGCUGGAGGAAGCAUUGCUGGUGGCAGAUUCUUACAGCAAUUCUGACUACCCCUUUACUGACACUAUGGCAGCUUUAAACCAGCAGUACGGACAGCCACACCAACUCGCCCUUCAGCGUAUUGCCGAACUGAUGGAUGGCCCCAACAUUCAGAGUGGAGACAUCAAGUCAUUCAGGUUGUUCGCUCUGAACGUCAGAUCCCUGGUGAGCAUGUUGGAGCAGCUUGGUUUAAAGGGGCAAGUUGAGCUGGACUGUGGUUCUCAUGUCACCCGUCUACUGGGCAAGCUACCCCAUGACCUGAGGUCCAGUUUCAGGCGUUACAUCCACCCGCUCCGCAUUCCUAUCCCCACUCUUCUGGACCUGGCAGAUUGGUUGGAAUACGAGCUCCAGAUCCAGGAGGAUAUAGCACAAUAUCGCUUGAGAAAGGACACUGGAACUAGGCCCAAAGAAUCCAAGAGUAAUGUAAAGUCGUCACCUAAGGCCUCAGUCCUCCUGCUGGGGGCUGAACCCAAACCGGUUAGGGAGCCAGCUAAAGUCACUCCUCCAACCAGUCUAGAAGCAAAGAAGUUCUGCCCAUUCUGUGAGAAUUACAAGCACACUCUGAAUAAUUGCGCAAAUUUCAAACUUCUCAGCGCCACCCAGAAAUGUAAGUGGAUUCAGGACAACAACCGAUGUUGGCGAUGUGGCAGAGAACACCGAUCAGCGGAAUGUGAUCUGAAGAUGUGCUGUAAAACAUGCAACAGCAGACACCUGCUUGUGCUGCACGAUGUCAGCGAGAGAAGUUUAGUCAAGACUGACAAAGCUGAGAGAAGGUCUGACCAGGGGAAGUCCAGUGAGAGCAAUCCUUCGUCCGUACCAAGUGCAGACCAAGUGCUAUACAUUGGCAAGCCACCGCAGGGCCCGCGUGUGCUUCUCAAGGUUAGUAAAGUUAUCCUCCGCCAUGGUGACCAAACUCUAGAGACAUACGCUGUGCUAGACGACGGCUCUGAACGCACCCUGCUCCUCCAACCAGCUGUCCAACAACUGGGACUUGAAGGCCAGCCUGAGGAUUUGCCCCUGCGUACAGUUAGACAGGAGCUGCAGACGCUUCACGGGGCGGCUGUCUCAUUUAGCAUCUCUCCAGCCUGUUCUCCAGCCAUGGUAUACAACAUCCAAGGAGCUUUUACAGCACCCAAGCUCGGGCUAGGCCAGCACACGUAUCCCUUUAAAGCACUGCAGAGCAAAUACAGACAUUUGAAGAAGCUUUCUAUCCCUUCAUUCAAGGACAUUGUCCCGCUUCUGCUUAUUGGUUCAGACCACCCUCACUUGGUGACUCCAGUUGAGCCAGUCAUCUUUGGUCCCCCUGGUGCACCAGUUGCUGUCCGCACCCGUCUCGGAUGGACGCUGCAAGGUCCGACCAACAAUCUAAAGCAUUACCUUAUCGAGCAACGCUGUUUUUUCACCGCCUUCGGGGCGCCUCCAGCUGACAUCUACCAGCAUGUCGAGAGGCUGUGGCAACUGGACAUCCUCCCAUGGCGCAGCGAAAAGGCCAGUACGAGGUCACGGCAGGACAAGGAGGCCCUUGAAUGCUUGGAUAAACAGACGGUGCGAGUACAUGUUAAUGGUGUCCACCGCUAUGCAACUCCUCUCCUCCGCGUGAAGAACUUUCCUCAGCUCUGCGCACCAAAGGAGGCAGUACUUCCUCAGCUCCGGAAUACAGAAAGGCGGCUGGCAAAGAACCCUGAGACGGCCCAAGUCUACAAUGCAGAGAUCCAGAGACUUGAACAGGCUGGUUAUGUGGCAAAACUACCCCCUGGCACAGAGAACACCUCAAGCAGCUGGUACAUCCCUCACCACCUUGUCGAGCACAAUGGCAAGCACAGAGUGGUUUUCAAUUGCUCUUUCCAGUAUGGCACCACUGACUUAAACAAACUCCUGCUCCCGGGUCCAACCCUUGGUCCACCACUCCUUUCAGUUCUCCUACGAUUCAGAGAACACUGUGUGGCCUUCAGCAGUGACAUACGGGGAAUGUUUCACCAGGUCAGGCUCCUACCAGAGGAUGAGCCUCUUCUCCGCUUCCUCUGGAGGGAGCUAAAGCGUGAUGAACAACCUACAGUCUAUCAGUGGAAGGUGCUUCCCUUCGGCACUACCUGUAGCCCCUGCUGUGCUACGUAUGCCCUACAGAAGCAUGUCACCGACCAUACUCAGCCAGCUGAUGCAGUGAGAGACUCUGUGUUAAGACAUUUCUACGUUGAUAACUGGCUGCAAAGUGUGCCUACAGUUGAAGAUGCUAAGCCUAUCAUUGACAAGCUGCAGACUCUUCUUGCUGAAGGAGGCUUUGAGUUACGCCAGUGGGCCAGUACACAUCCAGACACCAUCCGUCACCUCCCUGCUGAGGCAAGAUCGGCUAGUGCUGAAAAGUGGAUCGCCCAAGGUCACCCAGAUCAAGAAGAAUCAGCCCUGGGCCUACAGUGGGACUGUCGAGAGGACACUCUGUCCUUCAAGUGUCGAGAAGUUCUAGCCACUGAUGAAGUUGUCACUAUGCGCUACAUCUAUAAAGUGGUGGCAAGCCAAUACGACCCCCUUGGCUUUUUAGUACCUUACACCACCAGGGCAAAAGUUGUCAUACAACACCUGUGGGACAAAAGGCGUGACUGGGAUGACCCUGCUCUGCCAGAUCACCUGCUAGCCGCAUGGAGAGAGUGGGAGGACGAGUUACCUCACCUACAGAGCAUAGCAUUUCCGAGGUGUUACACUGGCCAAGAGUUAGACUCUCCUACCUGUGAGCGUGAGAUCCACGUGUUCUGCGAUGCCUCAGAGCAAGCCUAUGGCUCUGUGGCAUACCUCCGAACCAAGAAUUCUCAUGGAGUCGUCCAAGUAGCAUUCGUCACCGCAAGAUCCAGAGUUGCUCCAAGAAAGCAGCAGUCAAUCCCACGCUUGGAGUUAUGCGCUGCUCUGACUGGAGCACAAAUGGCUCAGAUCCUCAAAUCUGAACUCACACUGCCCAUCCAGCAGGUGAUGCUCUGGUCGGACUCUACUACCGUGCUCAAGUGGCUGCAGUCAGAGUCAUGCAGAUUCAAAGUGUUUGUUGGUACACGCGUGGCAGAGAUUCAAGAUCUCACUGAGGGCGACACAUGGAGAUACGUGGACUCUGCACAGAACCCUGCCGAUGACAUAACGCGUGGCAAACCUCUCAACACAUUGACACCAGACAGCCGCUGGGGUCAAGGCCCCACCUUCUUGUGGUGUGAACCAGACAAAUGGCCACAAAGUCCUCAGAUUCAGACAGAGGCAGAUCAGAGUGAAGAGCUCAAGAAAUCUCAGUUCUGCGGCCUCACUACUACCACGCCAAAUCUUCUCCCAGAUGCUAAGCAGUUCUCUUCCUUCAGAGACCUCCUGACCGCCACAACGAAGACUCUACAUGGGGCGGCCCCAGGCAAUGUCACAGCCUACAGGCAAGCCCAGCUGGCUCUGCUACAACAGGUCCAACAAGACAGUUUUCCUAUUGACUAUGCCCUGCUGCAGUCAGGGAAACCAGUCACCAAGAGCAGCAGACUUCUCAAGCUUGCACCAGAGUUCGACCACAGUGACAAGCUCAUCCGUGUUGGCGGACGUCUGCGCCAUAGUAACCAGCUGGAACCGGAUACUGUUCACCCGGUGGUGCUGGAUGCUAAACACCCAGUAACGCAGUUGCUCAUCGAAGAGUACGAUUACCGUCUGCACCAUCCAGGCCCAGAGAGGGUCUUCUCCGAGAUGCGCCGCAAGUAUUGGCUACCAGGAGGGCGAGAGGCUAUCCGCCACUUUCAGCGUAAGUGCCAAGAGUGUCAGAAAUGGCGCGGUAAGCCACAAAUCCCACAAAUGGCAGACCUGCCUCCAUCCAGAGUCCAACUUUUCAAGCCAGCAUUUUAUUCAACAGGAGUAGAUUGCUUCGGGCCAUACUCUGUAGCGAUUGGAAGGAGGAGUGAAAAGCGCUGGGGAAUAAUCUUUAAAUGCAUGACCACCCGAGCCGUGCAUAUCGACAUGCUCUCCAGUUUGAAUGCAGAUUCAUUCCUCAUGGCCCUAAGACGGUUCAUUUCCCGCAGAGGAAAGCCGUUCGAGCUGAUUUCAGACCAGGGGACUAACUUCAGAGGUGGUGAUCGAGAGCUCCGGGAAGCAUUCGCCGACCUUGCUCCAGACAUCAAAGCUCAACUCGCCUCUCAGCAAAUUGACUGGAAGUUUAAUCCACCUAACGCCCCCCACUUUGGCGGCUGCUGGGAGCGCGAGAUACGCUCUGUAAAACAAGCCUUGCAAGUAACCCUUGGAGCCCAGCUUGUAACAGAUGAGGUACUGAGAACCCUACUAGUGGAGAUUGAAGGGAUUCUCAACUCCAAACCAUUAGGCUACACAUCUGCAGACAUCGCUGACCCCGAUCCAAUAACUCCCAACUCACUGCUCAUUGGGCGGCCAGAUGCCUCUCUCCCGCAGGUGGUGUAUCCUGACUCCGAGCUCCUAAGCAGUAGGCGUUGGCGCCAUAGCCAGCUGUUGGCUGACCACUUCUGGAAGCAUUUUAUCCGUUUCUAUCUGCCCAGCCUCCAGGCCCGACAGAAGUGGAAUGCUGAAAACCCAAAUCUGCACAUCGGCAAGACUGUCCUCAUGAUUGACCCACAGCUCCCUCGAUCACUGUGGCCAGUGGGUAAAGUGACCAGCGUCUUUCCUGGCCUCGAUGGUAAAGUACGAUCUGCUGAAGUGAAUGUAGGAGACCGGGCGUACACCCGCCCUGUGGCUCGACUUAUCCAGCUUCCAGAGUUGUCAGACUAAUCACUACUGGACGAAUGGGUGCCUUUCUUUCUUCUGCAGAUUACCUUCAGUAAUCUGGGGGCGGCUGUAAAAAAGGCCCCCUCGUGGCCGCUAAGCAUCAGACACUUUACUGUGACUCUCUCUCUCCUACGGGAAGAUUACUUGCUUCACCUGGACUCUUAGCCAAUCACAAGUUGACUCAGGAUCGCUGCACGCUGGUAGCAUUCUGUCCGAGACUUUUGCCAGUAGUGCACGCUAACUGCACGGACUUAAAACCCGUUUUGAUACAACUGCUUUAUCCUGUGUGCGUCUUUACAAAACCACACACACAUCAAUGUACAUUUCAAUCAUGCAGUUGUAAAUCCAAUAAAUACUUCCAGUGAAGAAAUCUUGCGUGAUUCUGACCGAUCACCUGCUGUGAGCUCUACCUAACGAUCCACAAACUAUCAAAAAUCAAAGAAGCCAGUCCUCUUCUA